rnacentral:rRNA from 1 species
AUUGAACGCUGGCGGCAUGCCUUACACAUGCAAGUCGAACGGUAACAGGUCUUUCGGGAUGCUGACGAGUGGCGAACGGGUGAGUAAUACAUCGGAACGUGCCUAGUAGUGGGGGAUAACUACUCGAAAGAGUGGCUAAUACCGCAUGAGAUCUAUGGAUGAAAGCAGGGGACCUUUGGGCCUUGUGCUACUAGAGCGGCCGAUGGCAGAUUAGGUAGUUGGUGGGAUAAAAGCUUACCAAGCCUACGAUCUGUAGCUGGUCUGAGAGGACGAUCAGCCACACUGGGACUGAGACACGGCCCAGACUCCUACGGGAGGCAGCAGUGGGGAAUUUUGGACAAUGGGCGCAAGCCUGAUCCAGCAAUGCCGCGUGCAGGAUGAAGGCCUUCGGGUUGUAAACUGCUUCUGUACGGAACGAAAAGUCUUGGGUUAAUACCCUGGGAUCAUGACGGUACCGUAAGAAUAAGCACCGGCUAACUACGUG